rnacentral:rRNA from 1 species
UACGUAGGGGGCAAGCGUUGUCCGGAAUCAUUGGGCGUAAAGCGCGUGUAGGCGGCCCGGUAAGUCCGCUGUGAAAGUCCAGGGCUCAACCCUGGAAUGCCGGUGGAUACUGUCGGGCUCGAGUCCGGAAGAGGCGAGUGGAAUUCCCGGUGUAGCGGUGAAAUGCGCAGAUAUCGGGAGGAACACCAAUGGCGAAGGCAGCUCGCUGGGACGUGACUGACGCUGAGACGCGAAAGCGUGGGGAGCAAACGGG